AGAGUUUGAUCAUGGCUCAGGACGAACGCUGGCGGCGUGCCUAACACAUGCAAGUGGAGCGACGAACCAGGCUUAGGCCUGGGGCUAAGCCGCGAACGGGUGAGUAACACGUGGGUAACCUGCCCCGAUGAUUGGGACAACCCGAGGAAACUCGGGCUAAUACCAAAUGUGUCCUCCGGCCAUAAGGCCGCUGGGGAAAGGAAGCUUCGGCCUCCGCAUCGGGAUGGGCCCGCGGCCCAUUAGCUUGUUGGUGAGGUAACGGCUCACCAAGGCGACGAUGGGUAGCUGGUCUGAGAGGACGAUCAGCCACACUGGGACUGAGACACGGCCCAGACUCCUACGGGAGGCAGCAGUGGGGAAUCUUGCGCAAUGCGCGAAAGCGUGACGCAGCAACGCCGCGUGGGGGAAGAAGGCCUUCGGGUUGUAAACCCCUUUCAGUUGGGACGAAGCUUCGCCGGUGAAUAGCCGGCUGGAGUGACGGUACCUUCAGAAGAAGCCCCGGCUAACUACGUGCCAGCAGCCGCGGUAAUACGUAGGGGGCAAGCGUUGUCCGGAAUCAUUGGGCGUAAAGAGCGUGUAGGCGGCUCGGUAAGUCCGCUCUGAAAGCCCGGGGCUCAACCCCGGGAGGCGGGCGGAUACUGUCGGGCUAGAGUCCGGAAGAGGCGAGUGGAAUUCCUGGUGUAGCGGUGAAAUGCGCAGAUAUCAGGAGGAACACCAAUGGCGAAGGCAGCUCGCUGGGACGGUACUGACGCUGAGACGCGAAAGCGUGGGGAGCAAACAGGAUUAGAUACCCUAGUAGUCC
rnacentral:rRNA from 1 species